GACCCCGCACAAGCGGCGGAGCAUGCGGCUUAAUUCGAUGAUACCCGUAGAACCUUACCAGGGUUUGACAUCCUGCGAAUCUCUUGGAAACUUGAGAGUGCCUUCGGGAGCGCAGUGACAGGUGGUGCAUGGCUGUCGUCAGCUCGUGUCGUGAGAUGUUGGGUUAAGUCCCGCAACGAGCGCAACCCACGUCUUUAGUUGCCAGCAUUUAGUUGGGCACUCUAGAGAGACCGCCGGUGAUAAACCGGAGGAAGGUGUGGAUGACGUCAAGUCAUCAUGCCCCUUACAUCCUGGGCUACACACGUACUACAAUGCUACGGACAAAGGGCAGCAAGUUCGCGAGGACAAGCAAAUCCCAUAAACCGUGGCUCAGUUCAGAUCGUAGGCUGCAACUCGCCUACGUGAAGGAGGAAUC
rnacentral:rRNA from 1 species